CUUACCAUGCAGUCGAACGGAAAGGCCCUUUCGGGGGUACUCGAGUGGCGAACGGGUGAGUAACACGUGGGUGAUCUGCCCUGCACUUCGGGAUAAGCUUGGGAAACUGGGUCUAAUACCGGAUAGGACUACGCACUGCAUGGUGUGUGGUGGAAAGCUUUUGCGGUGUGGGAUGGGCCCGCGGCCUAUCAGCUUGUUGGUGGGGUGAUGGCCUACCAAGGCGACGACGGGUAGCCGGCCUGAGAGGGUGUCCGGCCACACUGGGACUGAGAUACGGCCCAGACUCCUACGGGAGGCAGCAGUGGGGAAUAUUGCACAAUGGGCGCAAGCCUGAUGCAGCGACGCCGCGUGGGGGAUGACGGCCUUCGGGUUGUAAACCUCUUUCACCAUCGGCGAAGCCAGAUGCUUUUGUUUCUGGUGACGGUAGGUGGAGAAGAAGCACCGGCCAACUACGUGCCAGCAGCCGCGGUAAUACGUAGGGUGCGAGCGUUGUCCGGAAUUACUGGGCGUAAAGAGCUCGUAGGUGGUUUGUCGCGUUGUCCGUGAAAUUCCCUGGCUUAACUGGGGGCGUGCGGGCGAUACGGGCAGACUGGAGUACUGCAGGGGAGACUGGAAUUCCUGGUGUAGCGGUGGAAUGCGCAGAUAUCAGGAGGAACACCGGUGGCGAAGGCGGGUCUCUGGGCAGUAACUGACGCUGAGGAGCGAAAGCGUGGGGAGCGAACAGGAUUAGAUACCCUGGUAGUCCACGCCGUAACGGUGGGUACUAGGUGUGGGUUUCCUUCCUUGGGAUCCGUGCCGUAGCUAAC
rnacentral:rRNA from 1 species